rnacentral:rRNA from 1 species
GACGAACGCUGGCGGCGUGCUUAACACAUGCAAGUCGAACGGUAAGGCUCCAGCUUGCUGGGGUACACGAGUGGCGAACGGGUGAGUAACACGUGGGUGACCUGCCCUGCACUUCGGGAUAAGCCUGGGAAACUGGGUCUAAUACCGGAUAGGACCAUGGUGUGGAUACUGUGGUGGAAAGUUUUUUCGGUGUGGGAUGGGCCCGCGGCCUAUCAGCUUGUUGGUGGGGUAAUGGCCUACCAAGGCGGCGACGGGUAGCCGGCCUGAGAGGGUGGACGGCCACAUUGGGACUGAGACACGGCCCAGACUCCUACGGGAGGCAGCAGUGGGGAAUAUUGCACAAUGGGCGGAAGCCUGAUGCAGCGACGCCGCGUGGGGGAUGACGGCCUUCGGGUUGUAAACUCCUUUCACCAUCGACGAAGGAUUUCUGACGGUAGAUGGAGAAGAAGCACCGGCUAACUACGUG